rnacentral:lncRNA from 1 species
AAGGAUUAAAAAUCGACGAAUUCGCGCGCAUAAAAGUUAAUCUAAACAAAAUUACAAAAUACUCGAACUAUCCACCAAUGAAAAGGCUGAGAAUUUGUCACAUGACCACGCCGCGGCAGCUCAUCAUGAAAUAAUUUCGACUUUUGUAAGUACCGCACCGGCGGCGCGGCGGCCGGCCGUAUACGUUGCGUUGGUGUGAGCUGUUGAAUCUACAUCUAGGUAUUGAUCAGGAUGGCCGAACUGGAGAACAUUUUAAAAGAUUUCGGGGAGGAAAUAAUUAAGAUAUUGAAAGGUUAACUGGGCAUGGAUGAAGCACACAGUUCCCACUGCAGCAAAUAAGGGGAAAAUUAUCCAAUUUUUUCGAAGACACUACUGCUGUCUGCUUAUCGUCAAAUGAUGCUGAAGAAAAGGACAGACAUGAUCAUUACAGACUUCAUCACCACGUUUCCAAGGAUACAAGAGAUGCCAGAACUUAUCAACUUGGACUUUGAAACAGAACAUGGGCACCUUCCUGACAACUUUAUUUCAAAGUGGGAGUCGUUCUACCGAGACCGUAUGAUAAAAUUAGGUUUGAGCGGGUAUCCAGCGGUAAAAGAAUCAAUUCAACAGUAUUAGGAAGGUGACAACAGAGACCUGUGUGAUUGCACUGCUGCUGAUGUUACAUAAGCCACUGACAAAGACCAAGAACCCCACCUCGAGUUCAAGAGCAUCGAGUUUGGAGCACUUUAUCCAGUACAGACCUAUUGGGGCAGAUGUUGAAGCGGCAGCAGCUGGGAAGUCUGCUGAGUUUCGGCAGCCCUAUAUUCUAGCCCUUGGACACAGACGCAAGCCAGUACAAUAUUUCUUGAUUGCAGACAAGGUAGUGAUUGAAGCGGGACAGAAUGUGAUGGAAGCCACUGACAGGCUUUUUCAGUCUCAUGUAUUUGGAGUCCAUUUUGCCCAAGUAAUUCAAAAUUUCUGGAAGUUCAUGGCAUCUGAAGUGUACAGGGUCAUGCAGGCAUCUAAUACCAAAGCCUCUGUGAGAAGUAUGGCGUUAUCGAUCCGAAAUUAAAAGUUAACCGUGCAGUAGCUUGGACAACAAAACUAAGCUGCUGUCGGGGACAGGCUUCUCACUCACCUUACAUUUGUAAUUCAUAAGCACUUUUGCUGUCUUGAUGAACAUGACAGAGAAUAGUUUCUCUAAGGCUGUUAUUUCGGAUUUUGUACAUAAAUCUGAAAAUAAUAAAAUAUGAAAAUAAGAGAUGUUUUGUACAGAUUCCAAAUGGUAUAAAUAUACGCUGAGUGAGAAAAUGUUGUUCAUAUAGGAAGGCAGCUAAAUUAGUGGUUAGUUUAUGCCAGAACAAUGAGCCCUUGUAUGAAAUUAUCUGAAUUAAGAUGAGUUAUGAUGUACACAUGUUCCGAGACAAAAGAGUUUGUUGACUACUUGUGGUGUGAGCCUAAGGGUUGAAAAGAAAUGUUUAUUAUACCAGCGCAAAACGAAGUUUGAAGGGGUAUAUAGUAAUCAGCGUAUAGUUGGGCGGUCUGUUGCAAAUCUUGCGGAUCAAUCUUCUUCCUCAUUUUUCAACCAAUACUCGUGAAAAAUUGGCACAUAGAUUAGACUUGUUGUGAGGAUGUGCAAGACACAUUUUUCUUAAGUGUUGGAAACUGCGUUUUCGGGGUAACGGCAUGUAUUGGCAUAAAAUUUGGUAAAAAUCUUGCGGAUCGAACUACUUCAGUUUUCAACCAAUUCAUGAAAUUUGGCACAUGUAUUGGUCUGCGUGUCAGGAUGUGCAGACACAUUUUUCACAAAAAUAUCUUGAAGACAAGGUGAUAUCUAGUUUUAUAUUACAUUGCUGAGAGUGAUUUAUUA